rnacentral:lncRNA from 1 species
GGGGAAGCGUAGUUUACAAUGGCAUCCAGCUGCAGAGCAGUUUGCUGGCAAGAGCCUAGACAGGCCCUGGAGAAUGAAGAUGACAAGCAGCUUUGACUUCCUUCUGUUUUCAUGUUGAACAGCAGCCGCUGCUAGAGCCUGCUAUGUCUGAGACGAUCCCCACUCAUCACUGUCUCUCUUAGGUGAGAGGAAACGCCACACACACCAUAGAAGAGUAUGAAGAAAAGGUGGAGGAAGCUGGAACUAAGUUCAAUGCAGUUCAACAGCUAUGAGAAGCAUGCCACUGUGGGAUGUUCAGAGUGGAGGAGGCUACACAUGUGCAGUGUCUGCCGCAGUGAAUUUGGAAGUCUUUUGUGAAGUGACGAAGUGAAUUCGCCUACUCAGUUAGCGCACAGCUUGGCUGGAGGAUUUCACAGAAGAGGAAAAGAGGAAACGUCAGUUUUGCUAUCGGUGUGCCCGGGUCUCAUUCCAGAAAGGAAGGGCUUUUUCCCCUCCUCCAGGGGAACAGGAUCUUCGUUUGUCAUAUGUUAACUCCGCUCCCUUCAAAGAUUCUAUUUUAAAUAAAAGGACUGUUUUUUUUCACCACAUA